rnacentral:rRNA from 1 species
GAUUAUGGCUCAGGAUGAACGCUAGCGACAGGCUUAACACAUGCAAGUCGAACGGUAACAGGAAGCAGCUUGCUGCUUGCUGACGAGUGGCGGACGGGUGAGUAAUGUCUGGGAAACUGCCCGAUGGAGGGGGAUAACUACUGGAAACGGUAGCUAAUACCGCAUAAUGUCGCAAGACCAAAGAGGGGGACCUUCGGGCCUCUUGCCAUCGGAUGUGCCCAGAUGGGAUUAGCUAGUUGGUGAGGUAACGGCUCACCAAGGCGACGAUCCCUAGCUGGUCUGAGAGGAUGACCAGCCACACUGGAACUGAGACACGGUCCAGACUCCUACGGGAGGCAGCAGUGGGGAAUAUUGCACAAUGGGCGCAAGCCUGAUGCAGCCAAUGCCGCGUGUAUGAAGAAGGCCUUCGGGUUGUAAAGUACUUUCAGCGGGGAGGAAGGGGUUAAGGUUAAUAACCUUAGCCAUUGACGUUACCCGCAGAAGAAGCACCGGCUAACUCCGUGCCAGCCGCGGC